rnacentral:rRNA from 1 species
AUUGAACGCUGGCGGCAGGCCUAACACAUGCAAGUCGAGCGGUAGAGAGAAGCUUGCUUCUCUUGAGAGCGGCGGACGGGUGAGUAAUGCCUAGGAAUCUGCCUGGUAGUGGGGGAUAACGUUCGGAAACGGACGCUAAUACCGCAUACGUCCUACGGGAGAAAGCAGGGGACCUUCGGGCCUUGCGCUAUCAGAUGAGCCUAGGUCGGAUUAGCUAGUUGGUGAGGUAAUGGCUCACCAAGGCGACGAUCCGUAACUGGUCUGAGAGGAUGAUCAGUCACACUGGAACGGAGACACGGUCCAGACUCCUACGGGAGUCAGAAGUGGGGAAUAUUGGAGAAUGGGCGAAUGCCUGAUCCAGCCAUGCGGGGUGUGUGAGGAAGGUCUUCGGAUUGUAAAGCACUUUAAGUUGGGAGGAAGGGUUGUAGAUUAAUACUCUGCAAUUUUGACGUUACCGACAGAAUAAGCACCGGCUAACUCUGUGCCAGCCGCCGCCGUAA